AUUGUACGCUGGCGGCAGGCCUAACACAUGCAAGUCGAGCGGCAGCGGGAAAGUAGCUCGCUACUUUUGCCGGCGAGCGGCGGACGGGUGAGUAAUGCCUGGGAAAUUGCCCAGUCGAGGGGGAUAACAGUUGGAAACGACUGCUAAUACCGCAUACGCCCUACGGGGGAAAGCAGGGGACCUUCGGGCCUUGCGCGAUUGGAUAUGCCCAGGUGGGAUUAGCUAGUUGGUGAGGUAAUGGCUCACCAAGGCGACGAUCCCUAGCUGGUCUGAGAGGAUGAUCAGCCACACUGGAACUGAGACACGGUCCAGACUCCUACGGGAGGCAGCAGUGGGGAAUAUUGCACAAUGGGGGAAACCCUGAUGCAGCCAUGCCGCGUGUGUGAAGAAGGCCUUCGGGUUGUAAAGCACUUUCAGCGAGGAGGAAAGGUUGAUGCCUAAUACGUAUCAACUGUGACGUUACUCGCAGAAGAAGCACCGGCUAACUCCGUGCCAGCAGCCGCCGUAAAAC
rnacentral:rRNA from 1 species